AUUUACAUAGUUUAAAAAAAACAUUACAUUUUCAUUGUAAAAUUAAAGUAAAUUUUGUAAAUA
rnacentral:tRNA from 1 species